GUGGAUAACACGUUUACUCUUUUUGUCAAAGCAAUAUGAAUCCUUUUGUUUUUUGAUUAAACAUGAGAAGUGUCCAGGCCGAAGCCCAGCUAAUUAUAUUCAUGUGGAUUGGUCCAUCGUGGUAGUGUAAUAGUUUUUACUUCUGUUUCGGAGGUGUUUUCUUUGAGGUGGUGUGGUCUUUUGCAUCUUCAAGCUUGUGUUUCUCGUUAUGCCGAUGAUUUUCUCUACUUUGUUUGGUUUGGAGUUGCUGUGUUAUUGUAGCU
rnacentral:lncRNA from 1 species